UACGAAGGGGGCUAGCGUUGCUCGGAAUCACUGGGCGUAAAGGGUGCGUAGGCGGGAUCUUAAGUCAGAGGUGAAGGCCUGGAGCUCAACUCCAGAACUGCCUUUGAUACUGGGAUUCUUGAGUUCGGGAGAGGUGAGCGGAACUGCGAGUGUAGAGGUGAAAUUCGUAGAUAUUCGCAAGAACACCAGUGGCGAAGGCGGCUCACUGGCCCGAUACUGACGCUGAGGCACGAAAGCGUGGGUAGCAAACAGG
rnacentral:rRNA from 1 species